rnacentral:ribozyme from 14 species
CUUGUUUUUUGUUUUUUCUUUUUCUUUUGCUUGUCUUCAAAGUCCUUGUCCUCGGUUUUUGUUCAGACACAGGAUGGAGGCGAGUUGGUGCAAGAACAACGUAGGAAAA